UCUGUGGAGGUGACAAGGACGUGCAGGUGUCACUCUGGAGGUGACAGGGACACUGAGGUGUCUGUGGAGGUGACAGGGAGACAGAGAUGUCACUCUGGAGGUGACAAGGACAUGGAGAUGUCACUCUGGAGGUGACAAGGACAUGGAGGUGUCACCAUGGAG